UAGUAUAAAUAGAGCACCAAUCUUGGUGCAUUCAUUUCUAAUUAGGCGCAGAUCUAUACUCGUGCACUUAGAAGAACAUCAAAGUCAUAAAAAAGCCUGAUCGAUCUCUAGCAAUAUGGGUAAGGGACUCAAAGUGGUUGCCGGCUUCAUGUCAUUUUUUCUACUUAUUUCCCUCUGGUUGAGCUCCAUGCAGCUUAAGGUCGCAGAAGCAAGGCGACUGAAUGGAGAGUUGCAUAUUGGUGAUGAUCAUCACAGUGGGCGAGGGAUUGAUGAAUUAUCGCAGGGGGUGAUAGGGAGCACCUCAGGGCUCAAAUCGGGUGGCGGAUUGCAUACCUAUUACAAAUACUCUAGAUUUACUGCAGAUCACUCCGAUCACUCCGGUCCUACUCCUCCUGGUGACGGGCAUGCAUAAGAAUGUUCCUAGCGAUAACCAAUAAUAUAUAUAAGCUCAUGCCAAAUUAAGUAUGCAGGUGCUAAUUACUUUGAAUGGAUUGCAUGGAACUAUAUAAAUUAAAGAAUAUGUACUACUGCAGGUAGCUAUAAUAAUUAGGUAUGUUCCAAGUACCUUAAUUUGUAGCGUUACAUGAAUGAGAAAAUUACAUGUUUUGGUAAUUAAGUGUAUUUGUAAUAACAUUAAUGGGUUGUGAAGUA